rnacentral:rRNA from 1 species
UACGUAGGCAGCAAGCGUUGUUCGGAGUUACUGGGCGUAAAGGGUGCGUAGGCGGUCCUAUAAGUAUGGUGUGAAAUCUCCCGGCUUAACUGGGAGGGUGCGCUAUAGACUGUGGGACUAGAGUGUGGGAGAGGAAAGUGGAAUUCCUGGUGUAGCGGUGAAAUGCGUAGAUAUCAGGAGGAACACCGAUGGCGAAGGCAGCUUUCUGGCCUAAGACUGACGCUGAGGUGCGAAAGCGUGGGGGAGCGAACGGG